UCCCUGGAGGACUAGUGGUUAGGCCACAGGGCUCUCUUCGCUGUGGCCCGGGCUCAAUUCCCUGCCAGGGAA